UAUGUUGCAGUGACAGAAAGAAGUACUUGCGUCCAACUCAUACAAGCGACCUUAGGACAGUGUAAGCUAAGGAUGAGCGCGCAACGAAAGGCAUUCUCGAGCAACCCUUUAAAAAGAGGCUGAGUGAUUCACAUCCUCAGCAACUAGGGUGGAACCGCGGGAGAACUCUCGUCCCUAUG
rnacentral:misc_RNA from 1 species